rnacentral:rRNA from 1 species
AGAGUUUGAUCCUGGCUCAGGACGAACGCUGGCGGCGUGCUUAACACAUGCAAGUCGAACGGAAAGGCCCUUCGGGGUACUCGAGUGGCGAACGGGUGAGUAACACGUGGGUGAUCUGCCCUGCACUUUGGGAUAAGCCUGGGAAACUGGGUCUAAUACCGAAUAGGACCACGCGCUUCAUGGUGUGUGGUGGAAAGCUUUUGCGGUGUGGGAUGGGCCCGCGGCCUAUCAGCUUGUUGGUGGGGUAAUGGCCUACCAAGGCGACGACGGGUAGCCGGCCUGAGAGGGUGACCGGCCACACUGGGACUGAGAUACGGCCCAGACUCCUACGGGAGGCAGCAGUGGGGAAUAUUGCACAAUGGGCGCAAGCCUGAUGCAGCGACGCCGCGUGAGGGAUGACGGCCUUCGGGUUGUAAACCUCUUUCAAUAGGGACGAAGCGCAAGUGACGGUACCUAUAGAAGAAGCACCGGCCAACUACGUGCCAGCAGCCGCGGUAAUACGUAGGGUGCGAGCGUUGUCCGGAAUUACUGGGCGUAAAGGGCUCGUAGGUGGCUUGUCGCGUUGUUCGUGAAAACUCACAGCUUAACUGUGGGCGUGCGGGCGAUACGGGCAGACUAGAGUACUGCAGGGGAGACUGGAAUUCCUGGUGUAGCGGUGGAAUGCGCAGAUAUCAGGAGGAACACCGGUGGCGAAGGCGGGUCUCUGGGCAGUAACUGACGCUGAGGAGCGAAAGCGUGGGGAGCGAACAGGAUUAGAUACCCUGGUAGUCC